UCCCUACGGGGGGCAGCAGUGGGGAAUAUUGGGCAAUGGAGGCAACUCUUACCCAGCAAUGCCGCGUGAAUGAAGAAGGUCUUCGGAUUGUAAAGUUCUUUAAUUGGGGACGAAAAAAAUGACGGUACCCAAGGAAUAAGCCCCGGCUAACUACGUGCCAGCAGCCGCGGUAAUACGUAGGGGGCGAGCGUUAUCCGGAUUCACUGGGUGUAAAGGGAGCGUAGACGGCCAUGCAAGCCAGGGGUGAAAGCCCGGGGCCCAACCCCGGGACUGCCCUUGGAACUGCAUGGCUGGAGUGCGGGAGG
rnacentral:rRNA from 1 species